rnacentral:rRNA from 1 species
AUUGAACGCUAGCGGGAUGCCUUACACAUGCAAGUCGAACGGAGUGGCGAACGGGUGAGUAAUGUAUCGGAACGUGCCCCGUAGCGGGGGAUAACUACGCGAAAGCGUAGCUAAUACCGCAUACUAUUGGAGCGGCCGUUAGCGGAUUGGCUAGUUGGUAGUGUAACGGCUCAACAAGGCGACGAUCCGUAGCUGGUUGGAGAGGACUACCAGCCACACGGGGAAGUAGACACGGCCCAGACUCCUACGGGAGGCAGCAGUGGGGAAUUUUGGACAAUGGGGGAAACCCUGAGCCAGCCAUCCCGCGUGUUCGAUGAAGGCCUUCGGUUUGUAAAGCACUUUUGGCAGGAAAGCGGUACCUGCAGAAUAAGCACCGGCUAACUACGUGCCAGCAGCCGCGGUAAUUC